GAAAAACAACAAAAAGAAAAAAACGAAAAAAUGAAAUAAAAAAUAUAUAAAAAAAAGGAAAAAAAGGAGAUUUUUGGUUGAAAGGAAGGGGACGUGUCUGAGGAGGGGGACAGAGAGUUCGUUAGAGAAUUUCUUUUUGGGAUCGUGUGGAUUGCAGAGGGAGAAAAAACAGGUGAGCAAGAUUCUUCGGGCAUGGGAGAAGGGAGAGGGCAUUGGAAUAGGGCUUUUCAUCAUCACUGAGACAAUUCAACAUCAUCAUUGCGGCCUUCACGUCGGUCUUGUACUUAAAAUCUUUUCUCCUUCUGUUAGAAAAAUAAUCAAAAGUAUAUUUUAAAAGGUUAAAGCACACGUGCGAUUGUUCGCGUGUGCUAAAAAGAU
rnacentral:lncRNA from 1 species